CCCAAAGGCGACGACGGGUAGCCGGCCUGAGAGGGUGACCGGCCACACUGGGACUGAGACACGGCCCAGACUCCUACGGGAGGCAGCAGUGGGGAAUAUUGCACAAUGGGCGCAAGCCUGAUGCAGCGACGCCGCGUGAGGGAUGACGGCCUUCGGGUUGUAAACCUCUGUUAGCAGGGAAGAAGAGAAAUUGACGGUACCUGCAGAGAAAGCGCCGGCUAACUACGUGCCAGCAGCCGCGGUAAUACGUAGGGCGCGAGCGUUGUCCGGAAUUAUUGGGCGUAAAGAGCUUGUAGGCGGUUUGUCGCGUCUGCUGUGAAAGGCCGGGGCUUAACCCCGUGUAUUGCAGUGGGUACGGGCAGACUAGAGUGCAGUAGGGGAGACUGGAACUCCUGGUGUAGCGGUGGAAUGCGCAGAUAUCAGGAAGAACACCGAUGGCGAAGGCAGGUCUCUGGGCUGUAACUGACGCUGAGAAGCGAAAGCAUGGGGAGCGAACAGGAUUAGAUACCCUGGUAGUCCAUGCCGUAAAC
rnacentral:rRNA from 1 species